rnacentral:rRNA from 1 species
GACGAACGCUGGCGGCGGGCUUAACACAUGCAAGUCGAACGGAAAGGCACUGCUUUUGUGGGGUGCUCGAGUGGCGAACGGGGGAGUAACACGUGAGUAACCUACCCUUGACUUUGGGAUAACUUAAGGAAACUGGGCCUAAUACCGGAUAGGAGAUCCCGCUGCAUGGUGGGGGUUGGAAAGUUUCGGCGGUUGGGGAUGGACUGGCGGCUUAUCAGCUUGUUGGUGGGGUAGUGGCUUACCAAGGCUUGGGAGGGUAGCCGGCAUGAGAGGGUGACCGGCGACAUGGGGCCUAAGAGACGGACCAGUCGCGUACGGGAGGCAGCGGUGGGGAAUAUUGCACAAUGGGCGGAAGCCUGAUGUGGCAACGCCGCGUGCGGGAUGACGUCCUUCGGGUUGUAAACCGCUUUCGCCUGUGACGAAGCGUGAGUGACGGUAAUGGAUAAAGAAGCACCGGCUAACUACGUG